AUCCACUGUUGGAAAGAUAUUGAAAAACAAAGUCCGAAUAUGUGAAUAUGAAACCAACUUUACCGCAGUAUCUACUACGCGUUCAGAUGAAGCUGUACGCCCGGCCACGCGCAUGUUUUUAUUCCGGUGUGAGUGUUUUCGGUGGGUAUAAGAUGGCAUUGAGCGAAUACGGGGCUCUUUGUAAAUGAGUAAGAGAUGAACGCGGCUGGAUCCAGACUGGCAGACCGCGCGCACAGACGCAGAUCGACACUGCGCAGUAAAUAUCAGCUGGGCUGGGUUCGGGGAGGUUCGGCCGGGUUGUGGAGCCAUUGAGACGGAUGGUUUAGGAGGAAGAAGCGCGCUGGACCCGCACAGAGGGCCCUCAGCUGCGCACAUGAGCUGUUCCGAGCAUCCUCGUGUGUUUAUUUGAGCUCUCAAUUCAUCAUCACCUUUACUUGGCGGCAUCACUCGUCCUCCCACUACGUCCGCUGCUACCUGCCCCAUUGACCAAACUCAAGCGUGGAAUCCUACCAUGUCUCAACAACCCAUUUCUUGGACCUGAAGGCAAAGCGGAGAUCAGAUUCUUAACAUCCCAAAUCCAAUUCUUAUUCCCCAUUCAGCUUCUACAAAUGGACAGGAACAAUCCAGCCUGCAUUAAAUGAAAGGAAGUAGUAAUGUCCAUAGCUGGCCAUUUAGACAGAAACUGUUAUGAUACUGAGAAAGUUUGUAUAAUCAGUUCAUUUUUGUCUUUCAAUGCUUUAAUCCCUCAGAGACUCUGAAUAUGGACCUUUGAGAGUCCUGACUGGUGUCCAGCAGCUUUUGUUUUCUUUUUCUUUUCUGGUUUGGAUGCUUAUGUGAUACUUCAAUGGCUUAAACGCAAGGCUGUUGGGUAUUUCAGAAGUGGGUUAUUUAAUUUUUUUUUCAGUUGCCAAACGCCAAUUCCACAGAACUUGGAAAAGGAAAAAACCUCACCAACCCAAAUCUCAGCCUUGAUUUAAGGUCACUUGGCAUCUAGACACAACCUCUGCAUUACUUCCACCAUUCCUCAAAGACUUUGAAAAUGAACGUUUGAGAGAUCUGACUGGUAUUAGAUGCUUUUUGAGACCCAGAAAGCAUUCAAUCUUCUGGAUUAGUUGUGUUUAUGAUACCUUGAGGUCCAAGAUUGUUAGGAAUUGCAGAAGUCAAAUAUAAAUAUACUCAUCAUUUUAGAUGCCACUUUUAGUGAACUUAAGAAAGGAAAAAACUUCUGCCAACUAGGGCUUGUUGUCACUUUGUAAGGCCACUACAGGGCUUGUAAUGCCACUUGGCACCCAGAAACAAGCCCUGCUUGACUUCGAACCUCAAAGACUUUGAAUAUGAACCUUUGAGAGAUCUGACUGGCAUUGGAUGCUCUUUAAGGUUUUUUUUUUUUGGAGGCCCAGCAAACCUUCAAUCUUCUGGAUUAGUUGUGUUUAAGAUACCUUGAGUCAUAAACCCAAGAUUGUUAGGAAUUUCGGAAAUCAAAUAUAUAUACUCAUCAUUUUAGAUGACACUGCCACUUCCAGAGAACUUAAGGAAGGAGAAAACUUCCGCCGACUAGGGCUUGUUGGUGCGUCUUGGUCCUGAACCCAAAUCCCAACCCCUUUCCCCCCUUUUUUGGCCAUUUGGCACUUAUUUCUUACCUCCAUCUCAUCCCGACCUCCACCAUUCGCCCCUCACUGGCCA